AUGGGACUCUCAAGCGCCGUGACAUGGUGGGAGGAGUGGCAGCUGCGCAUCCUCCCACCGGUAUACACUGAGUGUAAGUGUGAAGACUAUGUUCGAGCAGCAAAGAGGUGUGUAGUGGACACACCGGUAUACACUGAGUGUAAGUGUGAUAUGAAUCGUAUGUUUGUCGAUCAGUAUGCUCCAUACUCUGUUCGAAUUGAAGGGUUGACGUCUUUUCUGAAGCUUGAUUAUAAGGAUGCAUACAGUGAGUUGCAGAAGGGUCUAGGAAAAACGUUUGAUGGCAUGUACACCCGAGUUGGGUCAAUUAACACUGGACUUGGCGCUGGCUCAUUUCUUUUGCUUCCGUUCCUAGCCUUAGCUUCUAUUGUGCUCUUUGCCACGAGCGGCAAGGAUGGUCAGAACGAAAAGGACAUUAGGGUGACAUACAUCCUAUUAUGUAGUACCACCGUGUUGGAGCUCUGGUAUCCCUUAUUGCUAUUCUUAUAUCUACUAGAUCCAUGUAUUUUUAAUUUCUUUAAUGGUCCUUUUGAGGGGUGGCAUGACAUGGCUUCCCAGCACAACAUCAUGUCCUUAUGUGUUCGCAAGAAGAAGCCCACAUUCCUGAUGAAAGUUGCUACCUUCAACUUUCUAAGGGAGCUUGUUAACCAACAUUUGUAUAUUCAGCAAGUACCUAUAGCCUACCAGAUCACGGGUACGGUUCGCCGGCACAUGGAAGAUGGUUGGAAGGAAUACAUACGCGACCCUGCAAGUUACAAGAGCUUCAGUGCGCUCCGAGGUCAGUUGGCGCUAAGGAUGCACCAUCAUCAGCUAGCUUGGAGCUUGAAGAUGCCUUUCGAUGAGAGCGUCCUUGUCUGGCAUGUCGCCAGAGACCUAUGCUUUUAUCAACCCAACACAUCCGCUCAAUGUCAGCAAGGAGAAGCCAAACAACGCGGCAGGGAGAUAUCCAACUAUAUGUUCUAUCUGCUUCUCAUCCGUCCUGAGAUGCUAAUGCUUGGCGCCAAAUCGUAUCUCGUCACCUUGGCCAGCGAUAAAAUUGUGGAAAACAGCAAGGGACUACUCGAACCGACAGAAGAAAGCCUGGCGCGUGAGAUUUUUAACUUGUCACCCUCUGCACCUGAUAUGGUUUCCAAUGCAUGCAAGCUUGCCAAAGCGCUGAUGGAGUUGGGUGGCGAUGAGAGGUGGACCUUGAUCCAAGGCGUGUGGGUGGAGAUGCUCUGCUAUUCCGCCAGCAGAUGCAGGGGCUACCUGCAUGCCAAGAGCUUGGGUGACGGCGGGGAGUGCCUCACCUACAUUUAUCUCCUUUGGUCGUUCAUGGGAAUGGAGACACUGGCGGAUAGGCAUCACAUGUCAGAGCCUCUUCCUUUCGAUUCCCAAGGCAGACAUGGUCAAUCUGCAGAAGGUGACAUGCCCUAG
rnacentral:rRNA from 1 species